AUAAAGUUUAAUUUUAGUUUAAAAAUUCAAUUUUACUAUAACAUUUUAUAAAAAUUUUAAGUUUAAAUAAGGGUAUAUUAAAAAUAAGUAUUAAUAAUUAAUUAAUGUUAGAAUUAGUAAUAGUAUAAAGGAUUAACAAAAUUUGUGCCAGCAGUUGCGGUUACACAGAUAAUUCGAUUGAAUUAGUGAGGUUUCAAUAAAUUUUAGUUUAAUAUAGGAUUUAAAAUCUAAAUUAUUAGGUGAAAUUUUUAAUUUUUAAAAAAAUUUUAUUUUAUUAAAUUAUUUUGUUAAAUUUUGGAUUUAAACUAGGAUUAGAUACCCUAUUAUUCAAAAUUCAAUUAGUUAGCUUAAUGACUAUAAGUUAAGGUCUUUAAAGUUAAAAAAUUUGGCGGUAUUUUAGUCUAUUCAGAGGAACCUGUUUUAUAAUUGAUAGUCCACGAUUAACUUUACUUUAUUUUUAAAUUUAUAUAUCGUCGUUUUUGAAAAUUUUUGUAAAAUUAAUUUUCAAUAUUUUAUAUUAAAUAUUAAAUCAGAUCAAGGUGUAGUUGAUAAUAAAGUAAAAAUGGGUUACAUUUAAAUUAUUAUUGAAUUUAAAAUUGAAAAUUUUAAUUAAAUUGGAUUUGAGAGUAAAUUUAUUAAAUUAAUAAAUUGAUUUAAGCUCUAAAAUAUGUACAUAUUGCCCGUCGCUUUCGUUAUAAAAUGAAAUAAGUCGUAACAUAGUAGAUUUACUGGAAAGUGAAUCUUUGAUUUC
rnacentral:ncRNA from 1 species